rnacentral:rRNA from 1 species
UACAGAGGCCACGAGCGUUAGGCGGAAUCACUGGGCUUAAAGCGUGUGUAGGUGGAUGGCUAAGUACCUUGUGAAAUCCGACGGCUCAACCGUGGAACUGCUCGGUAUACUGGUCGUCUUGAGGCACUCAGGGGCGAGCGGAACAGAUGGUGGAGCGGUGAAAUGCGUAGAUAUCAUCUGGAACGCCAAUGGUGAAGACAGCUCGCUGGGGGUGUACUGACACUGAGACACGAAAGCCAGGGGAGCGAACGGG